rnacentral:rRNA from 1 species
UAGUUAAGCGAAAGUAAAGUUUACGGUGGAUACCUUGGUGUUUAGAAGCGAUGAAGGGCGUGGCUACCAACGAAAUGCUUCGGGAAGCUGGAAGCAAGCUUUGAUCCGGAGAAUCCCGAAUGAGGAAACUCUUUAAUACUUCUUUCAAAUACAUAAGAAAGAAAGAGCAAACCUAGUGAACUGAAACAUCUUAGUAACUAGAGGAAAAGAAAGCAAAAGCGAUUCCCCCAGUAGUGGCGAGCGAAAAGGGAACAGCCUAAACCGUUGUUUUACAACGGGGUAAUGGGACAACACAAACAAAAUAAACUAGAUUAGUUGAAUUGGUUGGAAUCCCAAGCGAUACAAGGUGACAGCCCUGUAAACGAAAAUCAAUUUUAUUUUUAGUUGAAUCCCGAGUAGUAUGGGGCACGAGAAAUCCCGUAUGAAUUCGCGAGGACCACCUCGUAAGGCUAAAUAUUCCUAAACAACCGAUAGUGAAACAGUACCGUGAGGGAAAGGUGAAAAGAACCUCGGGAGAGGAGUGAAAUAGAACAUGAAACCGUAAACUUACAAGCAGUGGGAGGACGACUUAACGUCUGACCUCGUGCCUGUUGAAGAAUGAGCCGGCGACUUAUGUGCAGUGGCAGGUUAAGGCAAAGAAUGCCGAAGCCAUAGUGAAAGCGAGCUUAAAAAGGCAUAAGUCACUGUGCAUAGACCCGAACCCGAAUGAUCUAACCAUGACCAGGGUGAAGCUUAGGUAACACUAAGUGGAGGUCCGAACCGACUAAUGUUGAAAAAUUAGCGGAUGAGUUGUGGUUAGUGGUGAAAUGCCAAUCGAAUUCGGAGCUAGCUGGUUCUCCCCGAAAUGUGUUGAGGCACAGCAGUCAAAAUAAGUGUGUUAGGGGUAAAGCACUGUUUUGUUGAGGGCUAUGAGAAUAGUACCAAAUCAAGGCAAACUCUGAAUACUAAAUACAUAAUUUGACUAGUCAGACAGUGGGGGAUAAGCUCCAUUGUCAAGAGGGAAACAGCCCAGAUCACUAGCUAAGGCCCCUAAAUAGUUGCUAAGUGUAAAAGGAAGUGAGAACGCAUAGACAACCAGGAGGUUCGCUUAGAAGCAGCAAUCCUUUUAAAAGUGCGUAAUAGCUUACUGGUCAAGUGAUCUUGCACCGAAAAUUUUAGGGACUAAGCAACUUGCCGAAGCUGUGAGAUGUUUGUAUUUUGGCUUUUAAUAAGCAAAAAAUAUAAAACAUCGGUAGGGGAGCGUUCCGUAGUAGUUUGAAGCGUUAGCGAAAGUGAACGUGGACAAAUCGGAAGUGAGAAUGUCGGCUUAAGUAACGAAAACAUUGGUGAGAAUCCAAUGCCCCGAAAAUCUAAGGUUUCCUUUGGAAGGUUCGUCCGCAAAGGGUAAGUCAGAGCCUAAGGCAAGGCUGAAAAGCGUAGCUAAUGGACAACGGGUUAAUAUUCCCGUACCACUUAUUAUUGGCAGUGGGGGACAAAGAAGGCUAGAUUGUCCGGAAGUUGGUUACCGGUUUAAAUGUUAUAAGCGAUGAAAGAUGGAGAAAACAUCUAGAGCAAAAGCAUGAAUACAAAGUGUCUUUGACACUAAAGCAAUUCACGCCAUACUUUCAAGAAAAGCCCUAAUAGCUAAGUAAAAAAUGAUAAGUGUCUGUACCUUAAACCGACACAGGUAGAUAAGUAGAGAAUACUAAGGGGCGCGAGAUAACUCUCUCUAAGGAACUCGGCAAAAUAGCCUCGUAACUUCGGAAAAAGAGGUGCCUUUCUUAAAGGCUGCAAUAGCAAAACUCAAACGACUGUUUAUCAAAAACACAGGUCUCCGCUAAGUCGUAAGACGAUGUAUGGGGGCUGACGCCUGCCCAGUGCCGGAAGGUUAAAGAAGUUGGUCAGCUUUACAGCAAAGCUAGCAACCGAAGCCCCGGUGAACGGCGGCCGUAACUAUAACGGUCCUAAGGUAGCGAAAUUCCUUGUCGGGUAAGUUCCGACCCGCACGAAUGGCGUAACGAUUUGAGUGCUGUCUCAGAGAGAGACUCGGUGAAAUAGACUUGUCCGUGAAGAUGCGGACUACCUGCACCUGGACAGAAAGACCCUAUGAAGCUUUACUGUAGCUUGAGAUUGAAUUUGAGUUUUUUCUGCGCAGAAUAAGUGGGAGACAAAGAGACCGUUUUUGUGGAAGCGGAGGAGUCGCAAGUGAGAUACCACUCUUAAAAAACUAAAAUUCUAACCUUAAGUCAAUCAUUACUGGCUAAGGAACAUUCUCUGGUGGGCAGUUUGACUGGGGCGGUCGCCUCCUAAAAGGUAACGGAGGCGCGCAAAGGUUUCCUCAAACUGGUCAGAAAUCAGUUGUAGAGUGCAAAGGCAUAAGGAAGCUUAACUGUAAGACUUACAAGUCAAGCAGAGACGAAAGUCGGCCUUAGUGAUCCGACGGCCCUGAGUGGAAAGACCGUCGCUCAACGGAUAAAAGUUACUCUAGGGAUAACAGGCUGAUCUCCCCCAAGAGUUCACAUCGACGGGGAGGUUUGGCACCUCGAUGUCGGCUCAUCGCAACCUGGGGCGGAAGUACGUCCCAAGGGUUGGGCUGUUCGCCCAUAAAAGCGGUACGUGAGCUGGGUUCAGAACGUCGUGAGACAGUUCGGUCCAUAUCCGGUGUAGGCGUAAGAGCAUUGAGAGGCGCUCUUUCUAGUACGAGAGGACCGAAAGAGACACACCGCUGGUGUACCAGUUAUUAUGCCAAUAGUAAACGCUGGGUAGCUAUGUGUGGAAAAGAUAACCGCUGAAAGCAUCUAAGUGGGAAGCUAACCUCAAGAUGAGUGCUCUGCCUUUUGAAGGUAAGGUCACAGUUAGACUAACUGUUUAAUAGGCGUUAAGUGUAAGUGCAGCAAUGCAUUCAGCUAAGGCGUACUAAUAGACCGAAAGCUUAAUAA